ensembl:snRNA U6 U6 spliceosomal RNA
GUGCUCGCUUCAGCAGCACAUAUCUAAAAUUAGAAUGAUACAGAGAAGGCAUGGCUCCUGUGCAAGGAUGACAUGCAAAUCCGUGAAGCGUUCCAUAUAUAA